CCGCAUCCCGCAGCGGCUCCAGGUACAGCUCCAGCCGCCGGUAGCUCCGCACCAGGUCCAGCAGGUCGAAGGCGGCGGUCUUGGGAGGCGAUGGAGGCUCCGAAGAAGCCUCACCGCCCCCCGUUGCUGCUACAGCCGCUGCCGCCUCAAGGCCACCGGCCACCCCGUCCCGCUCUGCCGCCUGCAUACCGGGCACCCCAAAACCCGCACUGCACCCCACUUCCAGGAAGAGGCCAGGUGCGCCGUGACACCACCCGGAGGCGCGGCACGCAGCCAAUCAGAAGAGCCAGGAUGGGAGGUGGGGACGGAAGCCCCGCCCAAGUGAUGGCAAAAGGGCGGAAGUGGCGGCCCGGUAGUGGCCGUGAGGGUCUGUGCUAGGCCUGCGUUGUGGAGUGCGGUCUGGGGCUGUGCCCUGGGCUGGGUCUGAUUCGACUCUAUUCGGCGCCGAGGCCCAGCUCAGCUCGGAGGGCGCUGGAAGAGGCCGGCUUCAUCUCUCACUCCCAGCCUUGGCUGCGUGGAGUUGUCUUGCAGAGCAGCUCGUGUUCCUGCUUCCACCUCACUGCGAGCACGGCCCAUCCCGCGGAGCACGGCCCUGUGUCACCACAGCGCCAGGCAGAGAGCCGUGUCUGACCCUGGGCCUUAAAGCACCCAGCCCUGGGAGGCGUCAGUGCCCUCAGCUCUCCCACGUCCUGGUAGUGUGCAGCCUAGGAAGAAACCUUUUCAGCCCAGGAGAAACAAAGCCUACAGCAGUGCAGCUCUGUGUGGUUCUACUGCCCACAUCCUUAUCAUAUGGAUUGGAAGGGUGGACUAUUCUGUGGACUGGAAUUGGUUGUGUGAUCACAGCUGGAGGAUUGCCGUUAGUGCUUCUAUGUCCAGGUAGAGGCUGGUGACGUGUGGGGUUCCCUAGGGUCCAUCUUGGGACUGGUGUGCUUUAGCACCUUUAUCAAUGACAUAGUGGGAUUGAACGUAACCUCAGCAAGUUUGCUGAUGACACCGAGAUGCGUGGUGCAGCUGAUACAACAGAAGGAAGAAAGGAUACCAUCCAGAGGACAGGCUUGCAAAGUCGGCCCACAGGAAUCUAAUGAGGUUUAACAAGGCUGGGUGUGAAGUGUUGUGAUUGGGUCACAGCAAUCCCAGAUAUGUGUACAGAAUGGGAGAAAAAAACUCCUUGAGAGCAGCCCUGCCGAGAAUGACGUGGGGGUCUGGAUGAAUGAAAAGCUGGACACGAGUCAGCAAUGUGCACUUGCAGCCUGGAAGGCCAACAGUAUCCCAGGCUGCAACAACAGAGGGGUGGCAGCAGGGGGGAGAGAGGAAAUUGUCCCCCUCUGAUCUGCCCUCGUGAGGCCCCAUCUGGGGUACUGUGUCCAGGCCUGGUAACCUCAACAAGAAGGAUAUGGAGCUGUUGAAAUUGGUCCAGAGGAGAGCCAUGAAGAUUAUCAGAGGGCUGGAGCACCUCUGCUAUGUAGAUAGGUGAAAAGAGCUGGGCUUGUUCAGCCUGGAGAAGGAAGGGUUUCCAGGAGACCACACUGCAGCAUUCUGGUACUUAAAGUAAGUUUAUAAUCAAGAGGGAGACGGACAUUUUGCACAGUCUAGUAGUGUCAGGACAAGGAGGAAUGAUUUUAAACUAAAAGGGGAAGUUUAGGUUAGAUGUUAGGAGGCACUGGCACAAGUUGCCCAGAGAAGUUGUGGGUGCCACAUCCCUGGGGGUAUUCAUGGCCAGGCAACCAGCCUGUGGCAGAGGAGUGGGACUGAGUGGGCUUUAAGGGCCCUUUCAACCCAAUCAUUCUGUGAUUCUAUUAUACACAAGUACCAAGUUCUGUCCCAUCCCUGGAGGGAGUGGCAGGGCUGGGGCAGCCCAUCCCCAGGGGUAGGGGUUUGAGCCCCUCUUCCAGAGACCAGUGGCUCAGCACCAGGAGUCCACCCACAACCCCAGAGCACAGUGGGCCCCUGCAACCACUGCUCCAGGAGGGGUGACCCCAAGGCUGCGGAGCUGAGUGUAAGCUUGGUUCACCUGCUGUCCCCUGCAGGUCCCAGUCCUGCUACAAAACUCAGACACCAAGCGAGCGUCAGUGUUGCUUUAUUUGGAAUGUGAAUCCAAAGGCACCAGAGAAGGGGCUGCAGUGGGACAGUGGCAGGUACAAGAGGCAGCAUGGGGUUGUGGGGCAAGGCACUUAGGGCAGCACUAGCCUCGCUGCGUGCAGGCAGCCUGGGCCUCGGGGCUGCACCAGAGCACGCAGGGGCCAGCAGUGUCUGGGACCUGCCCUGACACAGGGUAGGGACAGCACAUCCUGCCAGGGGGUGGCCCAGGGGCUGGCAGAGUGUGGGAGCACACGUGUAUCUGCUGAUUCAGCCCUUGGUGAUAGAAGCUGUGAUUUAGUGCCAACCCAGCCCCUCCAUGCCAUUGCCGCUGCUACCCCCACAAAAAGGCACCAGGUGACAGCUAUGGGGGCCACAGUCUUCCAAACUGAGCCUACGCAGGGGCUGGGGAAGUCCUUUUGUGCCCUGAAAGCAAUGGGAGAAUGCGUCCUCAAGCAGGGUGAGGACAGCUGGUGGCCAAGGCAGCUCUGGCAUGGUGCUCCUCCAACACUUCCCAGUCUCUGGCUGCCCAAUGCUUCCGCAGACCCUGCACAGCCCCGGAUACCUGUGGGGCUGGUCCGGAGUCCUCCCCUCACAGAUAGGCUAUGUCCUACAAGGAGACUGCUGCAAUCACCCUUCCAUUAUCAGUCUGUGGGCAGCACAGGGAUGGAGACGGAGACACGUAGUCUCACAACAAAAAGAGUUUUCCAGGAUGACAAUCCAAGUGCUGUGGAGCCAGGCAGGGCAAGCCGUGCCUGUUCUGGCUGGAGCAGACAGGCCUCAGGUAGGCUUACGGGUCUCUGUGGUGAGAUGGGAGCCCCACUCCCAGCGCAGAACCAGCCUGAAGGAUGCAGCAGUAGCACUGAGCUGCAGGCUGGGAUUACAAAAGCGCCUUUCUCACCCCAGAGCAGCACAAACCCCAAGGCUGGAGGAAUUUGUUGCCCCGCCUUGCUCACAGAGGCAGCCUGCAGCACCCUCCCUGCCACGGGCUCCAACAGUGACAGGGGUUUUGCUGGGCUCAGCUCCGAGGUGGGAUGGGGCACCUGGCGCUGAGGCAGCAGUUGGUGAGGCUGUGCCCAGGGUGGGUAAGCUCUGUGCCCACAGGGUUCCGGGAAGACACCGGACGUGGAGGAGGGGCCCGAGGUGGGGAAGCUGAGAGCACAGCAGAGACUCCAUUAGGCAAUGUGGAGGCCACGGGGCUGCCAGCAGGGUAGGGGCUGGGCCCAGCUUUGCUCCACUCCUCCAGCACAGCAUCCAUCUCCCCAGGGACAGAGUUGGCACCCACCUGAGCACACCCAGGGCAGGAGUCAGGCAGGGCCCCACGGGGCUCCCAGCAGUUGCGGUCCACUUGGGCGCUCCCUGCUUGGGUCCUCUGAUUUGCUUACAUCCGUCUGUCAUUCUGUGCAGGGUGCAAAGGAGCUGGUGCAGGAAUUGGUGCCCACUCUCCUGGCAGAAGGUCUCUGUCCGUCUGUCCAUCCAUCCGUGCAGGGGGCAGUGGAGGAAGCGCGG
rnacentral:lncRNA from 1 species